rnacentral:lncRNA from 1 species
GGGAGGGAAGGAUGUCCCAGCAAAAGAAGAUAUUUCCCAAAAUAAUGUUUUGGAAGUGAGGCAAAAACACUUUCUAAGCAAGAACUGUGGAGAAGCACAUGAACAGGACCAUGYAUUGCAGGAAUAUUCCUUACCCUUUCCAGAUGCAGAUGCUCUGUUACAUAAUAUUUCUUCCAUUCAUUCAGGACAAUGUUCUCCUACAUCAGAAAGCACCUUCAGGGUUUGUGUAGAUUACAAAACAAAGGAGGAGCAAGUUACAACUCUUCAGCCCCAACAGGAAAAACAGAAAACAAAUGGAUUGCAGAAUGGAGAUGGCUUGACUGAUGAUAUUAUUAGUCUCGAAGAUCUAAAACAAAAUCACCAAGAGAAUCAAGACUCUUCUGAAACACUAUCAGACAUGGAGCGGUGUCAGGAUGUGACAGAGGAGAACAUCAUAACCUGCACUGGCUCUCUGGGUGCUGCAUUUCAUCAGUCAUGACUCACUGUCUUAAAUGCUGUAUGAACAAACAGGUAAUCAGUCAACUUGYGAAUGUUUCACUCUUUAAUUAUAUUUGA